UGACCUCAGAUCGGUCGGGACCACCCGCUGAAUUUAAGCAUAUCAAUAAGCGGAGGAAG
rnacentral:rRNA from 1 species